rnacentral:rRNA from 1 species
AGUGAACGCUGGCGGUAGGCCUAACACAUGCAAGUCGAACGGCAGCACAGUAAGAGCUUGCUCUUACGGGUGGCGAGUGGCGGACGGGAGAGGAAUACAUCGGAAUCUACUUUUUCGGGGGGGAUAACGUAGGUAAACUUACGCUAAUACCGCAUACGACCUACGGGUGAAAGCAGGGGAACUUCGGACCUUGCGGGAUUGAAUGAGCCGCUGUCGGAUUGGCUGGUUGGCGGGGUAAAGGCCCACCAAGGCGCGGAUCCGUAGCCGGUCUGAGAGGCGGGUCGGCCACAUUGGAACUGAGACACGGACCAGACUCCUACGGGAGGGAGCAGUGUGGAAUGUGGGACAAUGGGCGCGAGCCUGGUCCAGCCAUACCGCGUGGGUGGAGGAGGCGUUCGGGUUGUAAAGCCGUUUUGUUGGGAAAGAAAAGCAGCAGGUUAAUACCCCGCUGUUCUGACGGUACCCAAAGAAUAAGCACCGGCUAACUUCGUG